UUUUUUUUGAGAUGGAGUCUCACUCUGUCGCCUAGGGUGGAGUGCAGUGGCAUGAUCUCGGCUCACUGCAAGCUCUGCCUCUCAGGUUUAUGCCAUUCUCCUGCCUCAGCCUCCUGAGUAGCUGGAACUACAGGUGCCCGCCACCACGCCUGGCUAAUUUUUUAUAUUUUUUAGUAGAGACAGUGUUUCACCGUGUUAGUCAGGAUGGUCUCGAUCUUCUGACAUCGUGAUCCACCCGCCUCGGCCUCCCAAAGUGCUAGGAUUACAGGCGUGAGUCACUGCACUCAGCCAGGUUUUCAGGUGCUGGUUCCAUGGCUCUUCCUGAGCCGAAAAUAAGGAAACUCCAUAGACCUUGUCCACUGGAACUCGUUCCCAUCUACCCUCCACUCUAUCCAGGGUGAUGGAUCUCUGCAGUAAGUGGAAGAGUUCUUCAUGGCCCCCAAGGUUAUAUCCAUCUAGAACUUCAGCACGUAAUUUCAUCUGGAAAUAGUGCCUUUGCGGAUAUAAGUUAGGUAAAACUGAAGAUGAGAUCAUACUGGAUUAGGAUGGGAUCUAAAUCCAAUGAAAAUGUCUUCAUAAAAAACAGGAAAGAACCCAUAGAAACACAAGGAAGAAGGUCAUGUGAAGAUGGAGGCAGAGAUUGGAGGGAUGCAGCCACCGGCCCAGGAAUGCCAGCAGCCACCCAGAAGCUGGAAGGAAAUGAGGGAUUCUCUCCUAGAACCUUUAGAGAGAACAUGGUCCUGUGAACAGCUUGAUUUUGGACUUGCCCAUAGCUUGUAUACUCUUACUUUGGAUACAAUUUUAUCCAAACUUGGCUAAACAGUUUCUCAGCCUAUGGAAAAUUUAAAAUGGAGAAGAUUCAACUCGAUUCUUACAGAUUCAAAGCAAGAAAAUGAUGGGAACAUAGGAGGAGACCAAGAAAGCCUAUAAAAAGCAAAAAUAUGAAGUGAACAUUGUGGUAGCUUUAAGAUGUUUAGUGUAGCUGCAGGCACCCUAUACACAUGAAAACCCCCAAGGGGAAUCCCCAUAUCACAGUGUAGUGUGAUAUUUGACAUUCGUGAUCAUCUAGAGAUGUACAGAAAAGGUGAAUCUGUGUUCUGUAUAUUCUGCCUAAGGCAAAGAAAUGUUUAGCUCUCUUUAAAAUAGUUCCAUAAUUUUUUCUAAAAAGCUUUGCUUGAAAACUGUAAGCUUCCCAUAUCUGGAGCAUUUCACUUUAAAUAUUUGGAUAAAUAUGUUAUCUUCUUACUUGGACAUUUCAUGUGUUUAGGGAUUGUCUUCUAAAUUCUUCCUAAUUCAUAUAGCUGCUAACACUUCCCGCAGAGCUAAACCAUUACAGAUAUGAAAUAAAGACCUAUUGAUUUGACUUACUUUUACUUGUAAAACCUUCUGAGUGUUAUAACCUCAUUUAAUCUUUCAGCAUUUACAGUUUCAAGAGUUUGUGUCACAAUUAGAAGAAUUCAGCUGCACCUCCAAGUGACAGCAGUUGCUCUGGUUGGUGGGUGAUCUCAGGAGGCUUGAGAAUUGCUUUGUCUGUGAGGGAAGUAAGACAUUUUCAGAGCCCCACUUUAGAAGGUGUGAACUGGCUAGAUAAUGAACCCCAGGGCUAACGCUGCUAUAGCAGUGGGAAGGAGGUGAUGGGUUUUCAGUUUGGACCUCAAACAUCAAUACCCUCCUGGUACGGGGAGGAACAGAGUCCCUCCUUUACUUCUCCAUUAGAAAGAAUGAGAUGGCAAGACAAUGAAACAGGCAAAGUGAACAGAGAUGCAAGACAAAAUUCAGGUGAGAGAGCCAGAGCAUCACUCAGCCAUUCCUGACAUGUAAAACAGGCAACUAGAAAUUUGCAGAAAGGAAGCGAAGUCUCCAUAAAGAUGUUUUUAAAGUGAGCUUGAAGUAUUUGGAGACAAUUCAGUGUUACAUAAAAUCUGCAAAUCUCUGGAUAAAGAAGCAGAGAUCCCAGCAUGGGACAAAUGGAGCCUCAAAAGUGGGAAGAAGACAGAGAAGACCAGGGCAGAAUGCAUCUCUUCCUUUCUCUUGGCUUUCCUGGAUAAGGACUGCAUCAUUCCUGUGGAAGGACAGGCCAUCAGCUCCGAAACACUGUAUGUAUUUUCCAGUAUAUACUGCUAGCUGUGUGAUGUUGGGAAAAUUUGUUACCCUGUCUAACCCCCACUUCCCUCAUCUGUAAAAUGGAAAUAAUGAUAGUACCUACCUAUCUCAUAGGUGGCAACUACAAGGGGCAGCACACUCAGGGAAUUAAGGAAGUUUCAGUGAACAUCAACUUUAUGAACACAGUGUUCAUAAAGGCAGGUCAGUGCAGUGGUUUGGGAGCCAGGAGAAGCACGUGGGCCGGAGUGUGCCUGCAGGAGACAAGGUCAGAGAUGUUGCUAAUAAUGGAGAAUAAAGGAUGC
rnacentral:lncRNA from 1 species